AGACUUUCAACAAUGGAUCUCUUGGUUCCGGCAUCGAUGAAGAACGCAGCGAAAUGCGAUAACUAAUGUGAAUUGCAGAAUUCAGUGAAUCAUCGAGUCUUUGAACGCACAUUGCGCCCCCUGGUAUUCCGGGGGGCAUGCCUGUCCGAGCGUCAUU
rnacentral:rRNA from 1 species